UCUUCCACAAUGGACGAAAGUCUGAUGGAGCAACGCCGCGUGAGUGAUGAAGGGUUUCGGCUCGUAAAACUCUGUUGUUGGAGAAGAACAGGUGAUAGAGUAACUGUUAUCAUCUUGACGGUAUCCAACCAGAAAGCCACGACUAACUACGUGCCAGCAGCCGCGGUAAUACGUAGGUGGCAAGCGUUGUCCGGAUUUAUUGGGCGUAAAGCGAGCGCAGGCGGUUUUUUAGGUCUGAUGUGAAAGCCUUCGGCUUAACCGGAGAAGGGCAUCGGAAACCGGGAGACUUGAGUGCAGAAGAGGACAGUGGAACUCCAUGUGUAGCGGUGAAAUGCAUAGAUAUAUGGAAGAACACCAGUGGCGAAGGCGGCUGUCUGGUCUGUAACUGACGCUGAGGCUCGAAAGCAUGGGUAGCGAACAGGA
rnacentral:rRNA from 1 species